GCGGCAGCGGCUUGUUGGGCAGAGUCGCCAUGUUGUGCACCCAGAUCCCGGCAGGGUCAACCCCUUCCCUGCCAAGAAAGAGCAAGUCCCACCCUCUCAGGGGUCCGAGGGCCACGGCUGUGUCAUCUGUGAAGGGCACUUUCUGGAGAGAAGAUUUCGAUGGGGAAAGAUAAGAGAGCAUUUGGAUAUCUACGCACUGUCAACAGAAAUGAGGCUUCAGGCCAAGGCUUCUAAAAUGCAGGAUUCCCAAAGUGGCAGUCACAUAAGACGGGUCCCUCCAUCGCCUUCUAGAAUAUUGAGAAGAUCAUCACGCCUGGGACUGGCUCACAGCACUGAUCUUUUUCUUGUUAGCAGAGACUCCAGGAAGCAGAUGAGCAGACCUAUGGGCCUGCUAUGUGCACCGCGGCCCACACUGCCGCCUGCCUGGGAUCCUGCAUCACCCGAGUCUUCCUGCGGACCACCCUGGGUGGUGCACAUGCGGUCAUCAUUGUGCAAAGGAAGCUUUAGUUCUAUAAUGAAAGCCCCUUUAGUAAGUGAUGCUCCUUGAAGACUCGGUCAGCGUCUCGUUCACCUCUUUAUCCCCAGACUUAGCACAAUUCCAGCCCCAAAUCGGCAACGGACCUUUGACCAAGUGACAUGUCAGUGCUUCAGGGAGCUUCACUGAUCAGGACAGAAGUGAGUGACUGGAGGAAGGUGACCCGGAUGUCUGUAACCCCCAGAAAGGGUGAGAUGGCUGUUUUAUCAGCCAGCAUUGCCGAGUUGGUGGUGUGACGACAUCCUGUCUGACUGCUGGGCCUUACCGGUGUGUUCUCUGCUGGAGCCGUGACAGUUUGAGUUGAGGACAUUUUACAUCAAUCACUGAACUGCACGAAAGAUGGAAAUCCAGCAAGGGACCCCGUCGGACCUGAUUGACCGCAGAGCUACCUUUUGCUCUUUCUGGAUGCCACACGGCCUCCUCCUCCCACCUGUCCUUGGAGCUUGUGUUGGUCCACUUUCAUGCUGCUGAUAAAGCCAUACCUGAGACUGGGUAAUUUAUAAAGAAAAAGAGGUUGAAUGGACUCACAGUUCCACGUGGCUGGGGAGGCCUCACAAUCACGGCGGAAGUUGAAAGGCACGUCUUACAUGGCGGCAGGCAAGAGAGAAUGAGAGCCAAGCAAAGGGGGUUUCCCCUUAUAGAACCAUCAGAUCAGCUGGGCGCAGUGGCUCACUCCUGUAAUCCCAGCACUUUGGGAUGCUGAGGUGGGAGGAUCACAAGGUCAGGAGUUUGAGACCAGCCUGACCAAUAUGGUGAAACCCCAUCUCUACUAAAAAUACAAAAAUUAUCUGGGCAUGGUGGUGGGCACCUGUAGUCCCAGCUACUCGGGAGGCUGAGGCAGGAGAAUCGCUUGAACCUGGGAGGCGGAGGUUGCAGUGAGCUGAGAUUGUGCCACUGCACUCUAGCCUGGGCAACAAAGCGAGACGCUGUCUCAAAAAAACAAAAACAAAAACAAAAAAAACCAUCAGAUCUCAUGAGACUUAUUCACUACCAUGAGAACAGUAUGGGGGAAACCACCCUCAUGAUUCAAUUAUCUCUUGCUGGGUCCCUCCCUCAACACAUGGGAAUUACGGGAGCUACAAUUCAAGAUGAGAUUUGGGUGGGGACACAGCCAAACCGUAUCAGAGCUGUGCUCCCAAGCACCCAAGGACUGCCGAGUUCUCAGGCUGGCAGCUCCAGCUGAUGGCACGUCACUGGGGGGUGAGGGGUUGAGGACCUGAGCUGCCCCCAGGCUCUGCAAUGGAAAGCAUCAGGCUGGACUUGGACAUUCUGGGUGGGAAGUGUCUGGAACCUGGACGCUGGCUUGGAGAGGAGCCUCAGGAGGAAUCGCCAGGAUUCUCAGCUGUCGAGAAUGUCACCCGCUGCUGUACUCCCAACAGCAAGGGAGGCACCUGGCACGUCGUGAGCAACUCUCGUGUAUUUGUUGCAUGAUCUAGUCCAAGAAUGGCCAAUGAGUUUCACCUGCCAGUUUUCACAGGCCUGUGUGCCGAGAGUGUUCCUUACCAUUUUUUCAUUAUUAUUCUGCUAAGGAGGAUUUUUAGACAUUAUGUUCCUAGUCAAGCCCUCACCUCUGCAAUGAAAUUAUAAUACCACUGUUGACCCAAAGAUGAGCAGCAAGCGCUAGAACUGAGGGAAAUCAUGGUGAGAUUUAUUCUGAGCCAAGCUGGAGGACUUAGGCCCAGGAACACAGAAUCUGUGUCCACUGAGAAUGUAUCUCAAAGCAGGCUCCAUGAGGCACCGUGCACUUACAUUUUCUAACAGGCGGACGUAUGUGGCCCAGAAGGUGGGAGAGGCAAGCGGUGAGCAGCCGUGACGUUCCUGAGAUUCUGAUGAGCGCUCGGUGGCACUGCCCACAUGAUAAGGGAGACAUGAGACAUCAAUCAACACAUGUAGGAUGAACAUUGGUUCGGUCUGGAAAGGCGGGACAACUCGAAGCAAAGGCAGGAAGACUCGAAGCAGACGGGGGCUUCCAGGUCAUAGGAAGUCAUGAGCGAAGAGACCGUGAGCCUCUCCCAAACCCCGCAUGUGCUGACAUCUCCACGUGUGCUGUGUCCUGGGUAGGCUUUCUUCAUAGACCGUGCUUCCGUCUGUCUGGAGUUUCCGCUUCAUCCAUCUGUCCACAGGGAGGACGCACACCCCUGAGUCCGAGGCCACACCACGCAUUCUGUAGAAACUCUCACUGCCCAGGGAGCACACUUUAUUAGGAAAGCUCCAGGUUCACAGAGGCUCUGGGCUCUCUCUGGGCCCGACGCCCUUCACUGUUUGAACUCAGCAGCUGCCUGCAGGUGCGGAGGACAUGCACCUUCCAGCCUUUGUCCUUUCCUGGCCUUCUCGUCAAUCUUACCGUCUGUCGGCCCUAAGUGGAUGCUCGGGUAAGUAAGUCCGUAAGCAAUGAGCAGUUCCUGUCCUUAGCAUGUCUGGGGUCUGUGGCUUUUGCGAAGGCAUCUGCAAAGCUAUUGCUGACAUGGAUGUCAUGAGGUUCUCUCCCUUAUUCCAGAGCUCAGUAAGCCCACAGGGCACAAGGCUCUUGACAUUCACAGCUGAGUGAGAAAGUGGUGAUGUUUAACUAUAAGCAUGAAAAACCCAAAAAGUACAAUAAUAAGGUUUCCAUGUGCAACGCAUGUAUCCAGCGCCCUGGAACGAAACAGACACGUGUGCUCUUUGAGCGGAAGGAAGAUGCAGGUCAGGAAAAAUGGUGAUUCUGCUGUUUCCCAAGUCACCCAGCAGGUGGGGGUGUCUGCUCAUGGAAACCCGCAUUUGCUAGGAUACAAUUUCCCUCUUUCUUUUUCACGAAGGAAAGGUCAAUUCACUCAGAAAUUACAUCCUUAGUGAGAUACCUAUGACUUGUAGGGCCCCAUACACUCAGAACCCCCGCUCCUGGGGGACUGCUGGGUGAACGUGGUCCAACAUGUGUAAUAUUCAUAAGGAAUGGGUGUUACAAGCCCAGCAGGCUGUAUGGCUUUCAUUAAUUUGGCCAGAGUCAUUCACGAAUAGCAGAAUGUUUAAUAUGGAAGCAGCAGCCACCCAAAUAGCAAACACAAUUUGGUAGAGAUGUGGGCUGUUAGCGCCGUGGCAGGGGUGAGGCAGUCUUACCAAGUGCUGAUGGUGAAGUGUGUUGUCAUCUCUUCCUGAACUUAAAUUUGUUACGUGACUCUAAGCAAUUCACUUCCAAUGCCUGGGACUCAGCUAUUUCCUCUCCAAAAUCAAGGGGCUGUACAGAGUGACCUUGGGGUGUUCUCCAGGGCUAACACGGUACCAAUUAUCCCAGUAAGAGGCCAAAGCCGCGGCCAGUUUGCCUGAAAUUCUCCUGUGAGUGGCCCAACAGAAAUAAUCAAAGUGAGUGGAUGGUGUGACAGACACAGAAAGACCUGGGAAGGAAGCUGACCAACUCCCUGGAUACUUAGCCAGGCACAAUCUUCUCAGUUAGAUCUUUAAAUCGAUUGAGAUUUGGCAAAAUUGUUACAAAUCCUGGCAGCAUAUCAACCAAGAUCAUUAUACCCAUUAAGUAACUAAUACUCUAAAACUCUUUGACCCCAAGGAGUGUCAGGAUUGUAGCACUGUGAAGAUGCUGCAGACGAAUUAAGGCUGAUCCCAUCAUCGGGGAUUGUCAAGGUUGUGAGCCAUCAGUGUGUAAUCAUCCAGGGACUCUUAAAAUAUGUGUAUCACUAUAGUCAGGGCUCUGCAGUGAGACAGAACCAAUAGGCUACAUAGGUAGGUAGCUAUAUAGAUAGACAGGUGAUAGAUAGAUAGAUAAUAAUAGAUAAACAGAUAGCUAGCUAGAUGGAUGGAAAGAGGAUAUUCAGUAGGAGAAUGGGCUCAUGUGAUGGUGGAGGUGAGAAGUCCCAGGACAGCCUGUCUUAGAGUAGAUAGAUAGAUAGAUAGAUAGAUAGACAAACAGAUAGCUAACUAGGUGGAUGGAAAGAGGAUAUUCAAUAGGAGCACUGGCUCAUGUGAUGGUGGAGGUGAGAAGUCCCAGGACAGGCUGUCUUAGAGCUGGACACUCUGGGAUGCCGGUCAUGUGACUCAGGACCCGAGUUGCAAGGCCUCAGAGCCAGGGAAGACAAUGGCAUGACUCAGUCCAAGGCUGAAGGCCUGAGAGCCCAGGGCAGGGAGUGCUAGUGCAAGCCCAGAGUCUGAAGGCCAAGAGGCUAGAGUGCUGAUGUCCAAGGGCAGGAGAAGAAGGGUGUCCCAGCUCUAGGAGACAGACACAGCUACCUUUUAGUUCUAUCCGGGAUUGGAUGGUGCCUACCCUGCAUUCAGGCAGGUCUUCCCCCUCAGUCUGCUGACUCACAGCCCAGUCUCCUCCAAAACAGCUCAUCCUCUUAUCCAUCCAUCUAGCUGAGGCUGAGACAAGAUCUCACCGGCCAGCUGGGCCUCCCUCCAGCCAGCCAGGUUGAGGCCUGGUGUUAACCAUCACUAUAUGGCACUACUCCUUCUGGCUAAUCCCAGAGGGCAGAGGUCAUGCAGGCACCGCAUCAAGCCAGGGUUCCUUGUUUUGGUGUCAG
rnacentral:lncRNA from 10 species